AGCAGUGGGGAAUAUUGGACAAUGGGCGAAAGCCUGAUCCAGCCAUGCCGCGUGUGUGAAGAAGGUCUUCGGAUUGUAAAGCACUUUAAGUUGGGAGGAAGGGCAUUAACCUAAUACGUUAGUGUUUUGACGUUACCGACAGAAUAAGCACCGGCUAACUCUGUGCCAGCAGCCGCGGUAAUACAGAGGGUGCAAGCGUUAAUCGGAAUUACUGGGCGCAAAGCGCGCGUAGGUGGUUUGUUAAGUUGGAUGUGAAAUCCCCGGGCUCAACCUGGGAACUGCAUUCAAAACUGACUGACUAGAGUAUGGUAGAGGGUGGUGGAAUUUCCUGUGUAGCGGUGAAAUGCGUAGAUAUAGGAAGGAACACCAGUGGCGAAAGCGACCACCUGGACUAAUACUGACACUGAG
rnacentral:rRNA from 1 species